UGGGGAAUAUUGCGCAAUGGGCGAAAGCCUGACGCAGCAACGCCGCGUGAGGGAAGAAGGCCUUCGGGUUGUAAACCUCUAUCGCCGGGGACGAUAAUGACGGUACCCGAGUAAGAAGCACCGGCUAAAUACGUGCCAGCAGCCGCGGUAAUACGUAUGGUGCAAGCGUUAUCCGGAAUUACUGGGCGUAAAGGGUGAGUAGGCGGCUUUUUAAGUCAUAUGUGAAAUCCCGGGGCCCAACCCCGGAACCGCAUAAGAAACUGGAGAGCUAGAGUGCAGGAGAGGUAAGCGGAAUUCCCAGUGUAGCGGUGAAAUGCGUAGAUAUUGGGAAGAACACCAGUGGCGAAGGCGGCUUACUGGACUGUUACUGACGCUGAGUCACGAAAGCGUGGGGAGCGAACA
rnacentral:rRNA from 1 species